GGGGAUGUAGCUCAGUUGGUAGAGUGCUUACCUCCCAUGUGCAAGGCCCUGGGUUCUAUCCCCAGCACUACCA
rnacentral:tRNA from 1 species